rnacentral:rRNA from 1 species
UACGUAGGGUGCGAGCGUUGUCCGGAAUUAUUGGGCGUAAAGGGCUCGUAGGCGGUUUGUCGCGUCGGGAGUGAAAACCAGGUGCUUAACACCUGGCUUGCUUUCGAUACGGGCAGACUAGAGGUAUGCAGGGGAGAACGGAAUUCCUGGUGUAGCGGUGAAAUGCGCAGAUAUCAGGAGGAACACCGGUGGCGAAGGCGGUUCUCUGGGCCUUACCUGACGCUGAGGAGCGAAAGCGUGGGGAGCAAACAGG